rnacentral:tRNA from 1 species
GAUAAAAUGGCUGAUUAAAGCUAGAAACUGUAAAUUUUUAUAUGAGGAUACUCUUUUAUCA